GCGUUAAUCGGAGUUACUGGGCGUAAAGCGAGCGCAGACGGUUACUUAAGCAGGAUGUGAAAUCCCCGGGCUCAACCUGGGAACUGCGUUCUGAACUGGGUGACUAGAGCGUGUCAGAGGGAGGUAGAAUUCCACGUGUAGCAGUGAAAUGCGUAGAGAUGUGGAGGAAUACCGAUGGCGAAGGCAGCCUCCUGGGAUAACACUGACGUUCAUGCUCGAAAGCGUG
rnacentral:rRNA from 1 species